rnacentral:tRNA from 1 species
GGCCGGGUAGCCUGGUUGGCAGAGCAGAAGAUUGAAAAUCCUUGUGUCGGUGGUUCGAUUCCGCCCCGGGCCACCA